AUUCCUGAUGUUGAAUCGGAAUCUGCUUUCUUGUAACUUGAAGCCAUUGGUUCAGGUCCUACCCUCCAGAGCAAGAGAAAACAAGUUUGUUCCCUCUUCCAUGUGACAGCCCUUCAGAUAUUUGAAGAGGAUUAUCAUAUCACCUCUCAGUCUCCUCUUUUCCUGGCUAAACAUACUCAGCCCCUUCAA